AGCGAACGCUGGAGGCAGGCCUAACACAUGCAAGUCGAACGAACCCUUCGGGGUUAGUGGCGGACGGGUGAGUAACACGUGGGAACGUGCCUUUAGGUUCGGAAUAACUCAGGGAAACUUGUGCUAAUACCGAAUGUGCCCUUCGGGGGAAAGAUUUAUCGCCCUUAGAGCGGCCCGCGUCUGACUAGCCAGUUGGUGAGGUAAUGGCUCACCAAGGCUACGCUCAGUAGCUGGUCUGAGAGGAUGACCAGCCACAUUGGGACUGAGACACGGCCUAAACGCCUACGGCACGCGGCAGUGGGGAAUCGUGCGCGAUGGGAGAGAGCCUGACGGAGCCAUGCCGCGGGUAUGAUGAAGGUCUUAGAAUUGUAAAAUCCUUUCACCGGUGGAGAGAAUGACUGUAGCGGGAGAAGUAGCCCCGGCUAACUUCUUGGCAGCAGCCGCCGUAAAAC
rnacentral:rRNA from 1 species